GACAAUGUGGUGUAGUGGUUUGGUUGCUGGACUAUGACUCUGGAGAUCAAGGUUUGAUUCCUACCUUGGCCA